rnacentral:lncRNA from 1 species
UGGGUUCAGGCUUCCUGGGCAGACUUUAUUUUUAGCUAGGAGUGGCAUUUUUCCCUCUGGAAGCUUUCCCUGCUUCACAUCAUGCCGUGAAAGCUGCUUGCUGGCAUUACGCUUCCUCCUCCUCGCUACUAUGUUCCCUCUGCUGACUUUCUAGCCUUCAAAACAUCAGUUUUCUGAUUAAAUUAUCAUGCUGCCCACAGCGAGAGAGAAAAAUGACUCGGUGCAUAGCGUCGUAGGCUGCCGCCGGGGGCCGCAGAGCUGUGCCCGGCUCCGCGCUGCAGCUUUGCACCGCCGCCGAGCUCGCCCGGGGGCAGCUGAGCGUCAAGAGCACCCACGGGACCUCUCCGCGCUGAGCCGGGCCAUGCACCAGUUGGGUACGCUGAGGAGAGGCAAAGUUGGAUGCUGGGGCAGUGGCACCAGGAGGAAACGUAGCAGCAGAGGAAGAAGAUGCUUGCUUUAAGAUCAUGACCUCCAUUCCAGUGUCAUUUCACACCUCAGGCAGUGAUCUUGUUACAUCUCAUAAGCUAAGCAAGGUCACGCCUGGUCAGGCUAAGUGCUUGAAUAAGAAACUUCUAAGGAAAAACUCAGGCGCUGUGGAAAGUGGGGCUGCUGACUGGGUAGGUGACAUUAUUCCCUUGGAGUCAGUACAAAAGAAGUGCCCUGGCAUGCUCUGUUAAGAAGCCUCUGUGCAUCUUUCUGUGAACCUGCUCUGUGCUUAUCCCUACUCUGUCUGCUAAAGGGACUGCCGUUCAGGUGAGUCAGACCCAGACAGUAAAACGGCUGUAGUUACUAAAAAUAUUUCUUCCCCGUUCUCCUCAGAGUAGAAGUGCUAGCCCCAGUGUCCUGCCCAGUCUCCAGUUUGGGUGAUUACAUUUGUCUUCACCAGCUUCCUCCUUGAAGUUUUGAUAUGAGAGGUUACUCUUUGCUUUACCCUCCUUUUCAAGCCAUCCUGAGUAUUGUUGCUGGCAUAAUCCAUCCCAAAGCACCGUACAUUUUAGGAGGAGGCAAACUAUACACAAGGGUUCAGUGAGAGACCCAGGUAUUUUGAAAGAGUGCUUAUGCAAAAAAGGAAAGUACUGAAAAACCAAGAGAUGCUGAAGUGAAAACCCACCCUGCACUCCCGGCUCUCCUGCCCUUUUCUCUUGUGUUUCACAAUCACAGAUUGACUUCUUGGAGAAUCUUCACCUCACCCAGUGCACAAAAUGAAUGGGUCACACACAUGCGGCAGCUGCUCUGUCCUUAUCUUUUAUUUCCACUGUCUGGCAAGAGAAGGAGCGUUAUAUAAAACUGGAAGGAUACACUAGAUGAACGUGCUGCCAUUCAGAGGCAUCUUGUCAGCCUGGAGAAGUGGGCCAACAGGAAUCUCAUGAAGUUUGACAAAGGAAAAUGCAAAGUCCUGCACCUGGAGAGGAAUAACCCCAUGCAUCAGUACAGGCUGGGGCCUGAUGGACUGGAGAGCAGCUUUGCAGAAAAGGACCUGGGGGUCAGUGUCCUAGCGGACAAUAAGUUGGACAUGAUGCAGCAAUGUGCCCCUGCAGCAGAGUGUUCCCAGCAGGGAGGCGGGAGAAGAUCCUUCCCCUCUGCUCAGCACUGGUGAGGCCAUAUCUGGAGCACUGGGUCCAGUGCUAGGCUCCCCAGUGCAAGGGAGACCUGGGGCUCCUGGAGCGAGUCCAGUGAAGGGCCAUGAAGAUGAUUCAGGGACUGCAGCAUCUGUCAUAGGAGGAGAAGCUGAGAGAGCUGGGACUGUUUAACCUAGAAAAGAGGAGGCUCAGAAGGGAUCUUACCUAUGUGUGUAAAUACAUGAUGAGUAGGAAGUAAAAAAAAACAAAACCAGACUCUUCUCAGUGGUGCUCAAUGACAGGACAAGAGACAAUGUGCAUGAAUGCAGGAAAUUCCAUUAAAGAUUAAAAAAAAAGCUUUUUUACAGUAAGGAUGGUCAAACUCUGGAACAGGUUGCCAAGAGAGGUUGUGGAGUCUCCAUCCUUGGAGAUAUUCAAACCUGAAUGAACAUGGCCUUGAACAACCCGCUCUACUGUCUCUGCUCUAAGCAGGAGGCUUAGGUUAAAUGAUCUUCAGAGGUGCCUUCCAGCCUCAGUGACUGUGUGAGUUUGAUUCUGUUCCUGUCCUCACAUCCUUGCAGAAGAUUUGUCCAUGAUCUCCAAUGCACAAAGUCAAGGAGCAAUUGCCUCAAUUGGUUUUGCUUCAGAUUUGCAGCAUGGUGUAACCAGCUGCAGCUACAAUGUACCACGUUUACGGCCUAUGAAGACCUAAGCUACCCAUGCUCCCCGGGCAGCGCUGAGGAUGUGCCAGGCUUGAGGAAAAGCUCUGUAGGGAAGAGCAUGAAGCAAUUGCGCGCCCAUGUGUGGGGAGCACAUGAUGCCAGGGCCAACAUCACAGCUCCUUCUACCAUACAAGUGUUCUGCUCUGAAAGUGGAUAUUCUUUUGCUGUAUUUUUGGGCAGAAGCGUGAGGUUUUUGACAAGAGAGAAGGCCAAUUCUGUAAUGUACUUUGCACAUUGGAUGAGGUGCAGGACUUGCAGCUUUGGAAAGUGAAUGAAAUAAGGCAAAGCUCGUACGGAGUAUCUGUUCUUUCUUGAUGUUGAGGCAAGGAUGACUCUACAGGCUCAAGGUGCAUAAUAUUUGAGAGCAAUAGCAUGAUUUUAUUAAGAUAUUGGGAAUCUUUUUCUGAAGAAGACAAAGCAGAGCUUAGAAAUGGUCCUGACAGGAAAAAAAGAUUCAGUGAAGCAAUAAGUUAAAACAGGAUAACCCACAAAAUCUUAAACAUUCUCCCCAAGCCCACAUCUCGAACUAUAACUAUGCUCUAAAGUAUGCAGAUACAUGUUACAAUGUUUAAAGAGAUGCUUGAGACUAAUCUGAUGCUUAAUCAAAGCUAUGCUACUAGCCUUACUAGUGCAGUCUAGAUUUUAAUGCUGCAUUUCAUGCUUGAAACUGUUUUGCUUAAUAGCUGAAUUCUUAAUUUUACAAAGAGGAAGAAGGCUCCGCUCCCCAUUUCUUAGUUGCAAAAGUAACAGUGAGACUAACGCUCAGGUAGAAACUAGCAAAAUCCUGAGGACAAACCAGUUCAGACCAACAAAAUACACAACAGCCAGAAAAGUUUUUCUUGGUCUUCAGAUUAAGGGCAAGAUCCUGCCGCUGACUGCAAGGAAGCCCUUCAGAAGAGAGCAGCGCGUUGGCAUCACAGCACAGUGAUUCCAUCACCUUUUUGCCUUGUAAUUGUACACUUGUACAUGGGAGUGAGUGCCUGUAUUUGUUAGUGAUGAAUUUACAGGUAUGGUUGGAGUUUAAAUUCAUUUCAGGCGUUCUGUCUUAUCAGACUGCAGCCUGUCAUUUAUGAAUGCUGCACACCACACUGUUCUCUCACAGAGAAAAUAUCUCUGUUGGGGUUUUUAUUAAAAAAAAAAAGAAUAACACACCUCCAUUUGGUCAGAAAGUUCUUUCAAACACAGCACAGACAAGAAUGUUGCUCUUAUGAACCUAAAGUUUAAAAUCUUUGACUGCAUUACUUCAUUUCAGAAUUAGUUUUAGCUUGUUGUCUAAAGGCUGCAUCCUUGGCAAAAUAAACAAACAAACACAAACA